rnacentral:rRNA from 1 species
UAACACAUGCAAGUCGAGCGGUAACACAAAGGAGCUUGCUCCUUGGGUGACGAGCGGCGGACGGGUGAGUAAUGCCUGGGGAUCUGCCCGAUAGAGGGGGAUAACUACGGGAAACUGUAGCUAAUACCGCAUAACGUCUACAGACCAAAGUGGGGGCUCUUCGGACCUCAUGCUAUCGGAUGAACCCAGGUGGGAUUAGCUAGUUGGUGAGGUAAUGGCUCACCAAGGCGACGAUCUCUAACUGGUUUGAGAGAAUGACCAGUCACACUGGAACUGAGACACGGUCCAGACUCCUACGGGAGGCAGCAGUGGGGAAUAUUGCACAAUGGGCGCAAGCCUGAUGCACCCAUGCCGCGUGUGUGAAGAAGGCCUUCNGGUUGUAAAGCACUUUCANCGGGGAGGAAGGGAUACNANAUAAUACCUAUUGNUGUUGACGUUACUCCCANAANAAACACCGGCUAACUCCGUGCCUNCANCNNNGGNANAAAAAAAAUAAANA